ACUACAUCCGUUUGGCAGAAGUCAGGUCCCGCACAGAACGCCAGCUGGAAUAAAAGUACAGGAGAUGCAGUUUUUAGCUUGCUGACCCCGGUAGUUCAAGAAUUCUACCAGAGCCUAUUUGAUCGGGUGCAAAGUAUUCUCUUUCGCACGGGAGAGUUAUACAUCACCCCUUGAUCCCAGCAAUGCACCUUACUUGUACAGGCAUGAUCCGACUCAAGCUGCUAAGGCAUCUGAUUUGUCCAUCUCAAGACCACCUCAAGACCACCAUCACAUGAUUUUGCUGUGCCUAUAACUUUACUCAUACCUGUUGAUAUAUACAAGUUUAUUUUGGUAGAAUGUUCUUGAUUUCUGGAUCUGCUGUGCUAUUUCCUUGGCUUUCUUUGCUUGGGUUUUGAUCUCUGGUCUCUUAUAAUUUUGGAUGAUAGAGCAUCUUAUUUUAUGUUUUAUAGUUUCCAUACUCAUAACUCACUUUUCCUCUUCUAUUAAGAUUUCCCCCAGAUUGAAAUAAAUUCCUGUCCACUGAACCUCUAUUCA
rnacentral:lncRNA from 1 species